rnacentral:rRNA from 1 species
CAGCCACCUUUUGAAACGCGUCAAAGCGUAACUUUAACACCCAAAAUACCAUUAAUUUUUAUGAACCCCUAAUUUAUAAUGAAUGACUCCAUAUUUAUAUGGAAGACACCAUGCUAGGAUUAGUAACAAGAAUUUAUAAUUCUCCAAAAUGCAAAUAUAAACCAACAUGGAUAGACCAUUGGUAGUUACCGAACCUAAAUUUAAUGCAAUAACAUCCACAAGAAAACUCUGCAGCACUCACUCGUUAACCUAACACCAGCGCAUUACAGGAAAGAUUCAAAAAAAGAGAAGGAAUUCGGCAAAUGACGGCCCCGCCUGUUUACCAAAAACAUCGCCUCUUGACUUAUAAUAAGAGGUCUAGCCUGCCCAGUGAAUUUUAAACGGCCGCGGUAUCCUAACCGCGCGAAGGUAGCAUAAUCACUUGUUCUUUAAAUGGGGACUCGUAUCAACGGCAUCACGAGGGUUUUACUGUCUCCUCUUUUUGAUCAGUGAAAUUGAUCUUCCCGUGAAGAAGCGGGAAUAUUUUUAUAAGACGAGAAGACCCCAUGGAGCUUUAAACCAAAUAACAACUUAACCACUUAUCCCAUAAUAAAUUUAACCCCUGUUAUAAGGUUUUUGGUUGGGGUGACCGCGGAGUAAAGCACAUCCUCCACGACGGAAAGAAUAAAAUCUUUAUUUAAGAACCACACUUCUAGAAAUUAGUAUACUAACGUUUACUGACCCGACAAUCGAUCAACGGACCAAGUUACCCUGGGGAUAACAGCGCAAUCUACUUCGAGAGCUCAUAUCGACAAGUAGGCUUACGACCUCGAUGUUGGAUCAGGGUAUCCCGGUGGUGCAGCCGCUACCGAAGGUUCGUUUGUUCAACGAUUAAAACCCUACGUGAUC